UGGCUCAGUUGGUAGAGCAUGCGACUCUUGAUCCCAGGGUUGUAGGUUCAAGUCCCAU
rnacentral:tRNA from 1 species